rnacentral:rRNA from 1 species
GUCGAGAAUUUUUCUCAAUGGGCGCAAGCCUGAAGGAGCGACGCCGCGUGGGGGAUGAAGAGCUUCGGUUCGUAAACCCCUGUCAUUUGCGAACAAACCCUCCGGCCUAAUACGUCGGAGGCUGAUUGUAGCGGAAGAGGAAGGGACGGCUAACUCUGUGCCAGCAGCCGCGGUAAUACAGAGGUCCCAAGCGUUGUUCGGAUUCACUGGGCGUAAAGGGUGCGUAGGUGGCGGAGUAAGUCUGAUGUGAAAGCUCUGAGCUCAACUCAGAAAUUGCAUUGGAAACUGCUUCGCUUGAGGAUCGGAGGGGAGACUGGAAUUCUCGGUGUAGCAGUGAAAUGCGUAGAUAUCGAGAGGAACACCAGUGGCGAAGGCGAGUCUCUGGACGAUUCCUGACGCUGAGGCACGAAAGCUAGGGGAGCAAACAGGAUUAGAAACCCCAGUAGUCC